rnacentral:rRNA from 1 species
UGACGGUACCUUGAUAAGAAGCACCGGCUAACUACGUGCCAGCAGCCGCGGUAAUACGUAGGGUGCGAGCGUUAAUCGGAAUUACUGGGCGUAAAGCGUGCGCAGGCUGUUUUGUAAGUCAGAUGUGAAAUCCCCGAGCUCAACUUGGGAACUGCGUUUGAAACUACAAGACUAGAAUAUGUCAGAGGGGGGUAGAAUUCCACGUGUAGCAGUGAAAUGCGUAGAGAUGUGGAGGAAUACCAAUGGCGAAGGCAGCCCCCUGGGAUAAUAUUGACGCUCAUGCACGAAAGCGUGGGGAGCAAACAGGAUUAGAUACCCUGGUAGUCCACGCCCUAAACGAUGUCUACUAGUUGUUGGUGGAGUAAAAUCCAUGAGUAACGCAGCUAACGCGUGAAGUAGACCGCCUGGGGAGUACSGUCGCAAGAUUAAAACUCAAAUGAAUUGACGG